rnacentral:tRNA from 1 species
UUAGAAAAACGGGACUUGAACCCGCACUUAAAAACUCAAAAUCCUCAGUACUUCAUUAUACUAUUUUCUA